UCUCUAGUGACUCAGAGGGUAAAGUGUCUGCCUGCAAUGCAGGAGACCUGGGUUCAAUCCCUGGGUUGGGAA
rnacentral:tRNA from 1 species